rnacentral:rRNA from 1 species
CUGCCCCUGUCAGGGGGACAACCCGCCGAAAGGCGGGCUAAACCCGCGUACAUGCCACCGGGGCAUCCCGGAGGCAGGAAAGGCUUCGGCCGGACAGGGAUGGGCAUGCGGCGCAUUAGGCAGUAGGCGGGGUAACGGCCCACCUAACCGACGAUGCGUAGGGGUUCUGAGAGGAAGGUCCCCCACACUGGUACUGAGACACGGACCAGACUCCUACGGGAGGCAGCAGUGAGGAAUAUUGGUCAAUGGUCGGGAGACUGAACCAGCCAAGCCGCGUGAGGGAGGAAGGUACAGAGUAUCGUAAACCUCUUUUGUCAGGGAACAAAGACUGGGACGCGUCCCCGGAUGAGUGUACCUGAAGAAAAAGCAUCGGCUAACUCCGUGCCAGCAGCCGCGGUAAUACGGAGGAUGCGAGCGUUAUCCGGAUUUAUUGGGCUUAAAGGGUGCGCAGGCGGUCUGUUAAGUCAGCGGUCAAAGCCCGGGGCUCAACCCCGGCCCGCCGUUGAAACUGGCAGUCUCGAGUUGGAGAGAAGUAUGCGGAAUGCGCGGUGUAGCGGUGAAAUGCAUAGAUAUCGCGCAGAACUCCGAUUGCGAAGGCAGCAUGCCGGCUCCACACUGACGCUGAGGCACGAAAGCGUGGGUAUCGAACAGGAUUAGAUACCCUGGUAGUCCACGCAGUAAAC